rnacentral:antisense_RNA from 1 species
CUUGAUCGAUCCGAGCCACAGUGGUUGAUCGGCAGGACGGUCCUGACCAUAGGUCGCGAGCAAUGCAUGCGCUUC